AAGAAUUGACAGAGCAGCCGUCAAGUGUUAGAUAAUGUUCUAAGAUAUUACAUGUGGUGUUUUUAGGUCCGAUAAUUAACACCUCUGUUUUUUUCAGAAUUUAGCAGUAAAAAAUUACUCGUCAUCCAGUUUUUUAUAUCGACUAUGCAUUCCGUUAGUUUCUCAAUUUGGUGUGUUUCACCAGGCCGCGAAGAAAUAUAGAGCUGAGUAUCAUCAGCAUAACAGUGAAAGCUAACACCAUGUCUCUUGAUAAUAUCUCCCAAGGGUAACAUGUAAAGCGUGAAAAGUAACGGCCUAGUACUGAGCCUUGAGGUACUCCAUACUGCACUUGUGAUCGAUAUGAUACCUCUUCAUUCACUGCUACGAACUGAUGGCGGUCAGAUAAUUGUGACUUUAAUGGUACUAAAACAUCUAACCUGGAGUGGUCAACAUCAGUCCUGCAGAGUUCAGCUCCAACCCUAAUCAAACACACCUGAACCAACUGAUCAAGGUCUAAGGGCUUCUAAAAAGCUACAGGUGAGUUUUUGUGUGUGUGACCCGGAUGUUAAGAGCUGCAUCAAGAGAAAUCAUCCCAAAGGAGAGUAUUCCUUGUCUAUUGUGAAUGUAUAUUUUCAUAACUGUUUCAGUUUAUCACUAUAGUAUUUUUUUCUUUCUCUAUUUCAGUUAAGACUUAAUGCUGGCAUAUUCUGAAAGAACUUGAUUCUUGUUUUCUUCAAAAAACGAUCUGUGAGCUUGAGGAUUAAAAGCUCAUUGCUCGUGUUUCAUUGUUGCUGGAAAUGGGUGUCUUCCCCACCGCUAGGGGUGCUAUGGCGCCUAAAUGAGCUCCGUCAGUAGAGGAAGUUAGCAGAACGGCAGCAGUAGAAAGCAUGGCUUGACUGCAUGUGUGCGAUGUCCUUGUUGGGAAAUGUUCCAUUUCAAGCUGAACUUAAAAAGGACCCUUUAUUGGUGACUAACCACAUGUUACGAGCUAAAAAUGGAUGUAAUGCCCAGAUGGAUGUAAGCUUGUAGCUUCUGUCUUACUUAUGGCAGUACCUGAUUUGGAAAGGUCUGGGGCUUGGGAACUGUUAUCGUUUGGAGUGAAGUCAUCGCAAAUAGUUGGAGUAUUCAUCGUCUGAGGGACAGCUUCAACUUUGGGCAUAAUUUGAUAAACUAUAUCUCAUCAAAUAAGACUCGCCCACGCAUCCAUUUGCACAUUAAUAAACUGUGCAACCUAAUAUCUAUUUCCUGUUAUGGAUUCGUACAUGACAUUAUUUGUAUAAUGUGAUUGUUUUUUUUGUUUUUUUUUUUGUUUGUUUUUUCAUGGCUAUAUAAAAAGAAUGUGCAUAUAUUUGGCAAGCAUCUUCCCUUCUUAAAGGGGAAUUUAGUUUGCCUAACAGUAGUUUAAGUUGUAUAACUAGUUUUGUGUUAGAAAAACAUGAGGCGGUUAUAAUAUGCAGAAAUUGUCCUUCUUAAAAUGUCAUCUCAAUCUCAGCAGUCCCUCUUUCCAAAACCUGGCAAGGUAAGAGUCCUCCAAAGAUUUGACUAAACCUCCCUUACAAUGUUUACAGCAUUGUGUUCAAAAUGGUGACUUUACUUGGUCAACAGCUUACAAUGCCUCUAAGCUCAGGUUUCAGAUAAAAGGGGUGCCCCAAACCUAGUGACAAGAGUUUGAGAUCUGUCUAGCAAUGUGUGCACUAAAGAGUUUCAGGGUUCAUUCAUGGCUGCAUUGAUAACUGCUUGUUAAUGUCAAUUUAACUCUUGUGACCAUGUGUUUGAGUUUUGAAUUGAUGUACUCCACAUAUCUGCAUAUUUAAUUAAAUUUAAA